GGCCAGCCUGGUCUACGAAGUGAGUUUGAGGCCGCCCUGUCUCGAAAAACAAAAAACAAACAAAAAAGUUUAGCUAUGGUACUAUUAGUAUAUCUGCUCAAGAAACCAAAGUAGGAUGAUUGCUUGAACCUGGAAUGAAAGGCCAGCCUGCGCAACACAAUGAGACCCUAUCUAUUAAAUAUUCAACAUAAUAAAAUCUUUGUAACUUAAUUUUGUAUAUUCGUGAUUAUUUCUUUAGGAUUAAUUUCUAGAAAUGGCAUCGAUGUAAUUAUCUUCUCUGAACUGGAAGUUUCCUUCCUAGCAGGAGGAAGGAAGCUGUUAAGACACAGGAAGCUUAGGAAACAGAAAACACCACUUCUCGUGGGUCAUAGUCCCAGACAGCUCCUGGCAGAGAGGAGUCAUCUCUGAUUGCUUUCUCACCUCCUUCCCAAGGAAGCUGUUAGGAUCCAGCAACAGCAUAACUUGGAGGACUGACCUCACUUUAACCAGGUCAUACUCGCUGAGGUCUGAUGGGGAAGACAGCCCAGAAUUGCUGGAGGAGUUUUUGUUCACGUAGGUGUCGUGCAGCCGCAAGU